UCGGAGAGAAUGAUGAAGGUGUGUGAUGAGCAAGAUGGAGAAGCAGGGCACGUGCAUUACUAGCUCAUAUAUACACUCUCACCACAAAUGCGUGUAUAUAUGCGGAAUUUUGU
rnacentral:sRNA from 1 species